UAAUGAUGUAUUAUCAUGUGUAGGGGUGGAUGGUAUCGAAAAUGACAUUCCCCUUACCCACAAGCUGAAAUUGAAGCUACACGACUCUACUGCCCUUGUAACAAGGCUACUUGUCAGCCCUCAUGCCCCUGCUAAUCUACUAGGCAGUGAUAUACUGUCUGCUCUUAGUGCAAAUAUCCAGUAUAGCCCCACUGGAAAAGUAACAUUGUCUGUGCCUUUAGAGGACAAACAAAUUAUAUCUCUUUCAAAUGUUCUGGCAACUCUCACUAUGCCCAGCCAUGUGCCAGAACCUACCAUUGACUUGUCCUCAGUCCCUGAUUCCUUAUGGGCUACAGGGAAGACAGAUACAGGCAGACUCUCUGUGCCCCCAGUCAAAGUGAAUCUCCUGCCCGGAGCCAAACCUCCC